rnacentral:lncRNA from 1 species
UUCGAGUUUUCUUUCGUCUCAAGAACGGUGUCCCCCCUUAAGUAGUCGUUUGUGUUGCCUGCAUCAGCUGAUCAAUAUUCCCUGAAUUUCAGAGGGGGCUAGAAACAACACAACAUGAGCUAGUAUGUCUGUAAGAAUAGUGGCAGACCAGCUGACAACACUGCCGCUGGAGCAUCAUCUGUGCCUAAAAGCCCCUGCAGAAACCAUUGAGCCCGCCAACCCCUGUGUAAGCAACCGCAUCCUUACCCGAGGUAGCGCGAAGAAGGAAGCUUCGUAGCUGUGAUAUCAUCGACCAGCUUUCUGCAUGGGAGCCCCAGUUGUCCGUAGAAGAUUGCUACAAAGUAUUCCAGGUUGAAAAUCAAGCCUUUCCGGUUAGCAGAAAUGGUGUGCCUCCUAAUCAAAACAUGGCUACAGCCACAGUUCAUUUGCAAAUCCGAAUGGUAACUUUUGAAAGCACCACAAAUCAGUCGUGUGUGUGUGUGUUCUGACAAUGGUAUAUUUUUUACAGCCAUUAUUUAGGCAAACAAGUCUUUUAGAACAUUGGUUACUAUAAAGAUAUAUUCAAGUGAGCAUUGUGAAUGCACUUUUCCUGCCUUUUAAGUUUACAAUUCUGUCAAAGUCACAGCCUGUUAUUUUUCUGUGCUGUUUGCUUUAUUUGAAAAUCAAGUGUACUACAGUUAGUGAUGCUCUCAAAAAAAUAAAAAAAGCUACUUGA